CCUGGUGUGUGUGUGUGUGUGUGUGUGUGUGUGUGUGUGUGUGUGUGUCCCCAGCGCUACUGCUUGCCUUAAUCCACAUGCACCA
rnacentral:miRNA from 1 species